UCAACAAAUGUAUCAAGUUCUUUGUGUAAUGCCUCACUGACAUUUUCCAACUCACUCAGCUGGCUUUUAUUUUUUUAUUUUUUUUUUUCAGAAUCCUGAUAAAAUGCAGUAAAGGAUUUAAGGUUAUCAUCUGUCUCUCUCUAACUUCUGACAUCUCUUUAUAACAAGAAAGAGUCACAGCCAACUGUAACAGGAGGGCAGCACAAUGAAUCCUGGUGCUGAAGACCCCGUUGAUCCCUCAGUUUUGCCCAGUUGUGCUUGAUGUCUCAUUGGUGAAAGCAACAGGGUGCAGCACCAGAGUCAGCCGAGGAAAGGGAGACAUGCUGUGCGGAAAUUAGAUGGUUUUUAAAGCACUCUGAUGAUGGAAAAGAUACGCAAGUACAAGUGAUAUCACCUGACAACAUUUGCUUACUAUUAAGGCUUCUCAGCCAGAAGAAUAUCCUGAAGGAAAUUACUGUCAGCAUCCAAAAAAAGUAUCUGCAAUUCAUCCUAAAGAACUGUCAACUUAAAGUAUUUUUCUGCUUUUUGAGUUCAGGCUGAAGUGGUAAGUUUGAAAAUCCAUAAAUCAAAUCAUAUUACUAAAGGAAAUAUGUAUCUCUUUUUUCAAAUACUCCAUUUUCCUAAAACUUCAUUGUAAGCAUAGAUUUUAAUAAUUAAAUCUUCAAUUACUAGAAACAGGAAGGAAAUAUUGUGAACUGUAUUCUGUACAUUGUUGGAAGGCAGACAAUAGAAAAACCAGCUAACUAUUGCCAAUUCAACCCUA
rnacentral:lncRNA from 1 species